rnacentral:rRNA from 1 species
GAUGAACGCUGGCGGCGUGCCUAAUACAUGCAAGUCGAACGAAACUUCUUUAUCACCGAGUGCUUGCACUCACCGAUAAAGAGUUGAGUGGCGAACGGGUGAGUAACACGUGGGCAACCUGCCCAAAAGAGGGGGAUAACACUUGGAAACAGGUGCUAAUACCGCAUAACCAUAGUUACCGCAUGGUAACUAUGUAAAAGGUGGCUAUACUACCGCUUUUGGAUGGGCCCGCGGCGCAUUAGCUAGUUGGUAGGGUAAAGGCUUACCAAGGCAAUGAUGCGUAGCCGAAUUGAGAGGUUGAUCGGCCACAUUGGGACUUAGACACGGCCCAAACUCCUACGGGAGGCAGCAGUAGGGAAUCUUCCACAAUGGGCGAAAGCCUGAUGGAGCAACGCCGCGUGGGUGAAGAAGGUCUUCGGAUCGUAAAACCCUGUUGUUAGAGAAGAAAGUGCGUGAGAGUAACUGUUCACGUUUCGACGGUAUCUAACCAGAAAGCCACGGCUAACUACGUG